rnacentral:rRNA from 1 species
UAGGGAGUCUUCCACAAUGGACGAAAGUCUGAUGGAGCAACGCCGCGUGAGUGAAGAAGGGUUUCGGCUCGUAAAACUCUGUUGUUAAAGAAGAACAUAUCUGAGAGUAACUGUUCAGGUAUUGACGGUAUUUAACCAGAAAGCCACGGCUAACUACGUGCCCAG